GCUGGCGGCACGCCUAACACAUGCAAGUCGAACGAAGUAGCAAUACUUAGUGGCAAACGGGUGAGUAACAUGUGGGUAUCUGCCCUUCGGCCUGGAAUAACACGAGGAAACUUGUGCUAAUACCAGAUAAGUCUUUUAAGAGAAAGCUUUAUGCACCGAUGGAUGAGCCCGCACCUGAUUAGUUAGUUGGUGAGGUAAUAGCUCACCAAGACAAUGAUCAGUAGCUGAUUUGAGAGGAUGAUCAGCCACAUUGGGACUGAGACACGGCCCAAACUCCUACGGGAGGCAGCAGUGGGGAAUCUUGCACAAUGGGGGAAACCCUGAUGCAGCGAUGCCGCGUGAGUGAAGAAGGCCUUUGGGUUGUAAAGCUCUUUCGUCGGGGAAGAAAAUGACUGUACCCGAAUAAGAAGGUCCGGCUAACUUCGUGCCAGCAGCCGCGGUAAUACGAAGGGACCUAGCGUAGUUCGGAAUUACUGGGCUUAAAGAGUUCGUAGGUGGUUAAAAUAGUUGGUGGUGAAAUCCCAGAGCUUAACUCUGGAACUGCCAUCAAAACUUUUUAGCUAGAGUAUGAUAGAGGAAAGUAGAAUUUCUAGUGUAGAGGUGAAAUUCGUAGAUAUUAGAAAGAAUACCAAUUGCGAAGGCAGCUUUCUGGAUCAUUACUGACACUGAGGAACGAAAGCAUGGGUAGCGAAGAGGAUUAGAUACCCUCGUAGUCCAUGCCGUAAACGAUGUGUGCUAGACGUUGGAAAUUUUAUUUUCAGUGUCGCAGCGAAGCGAUAGCACACCGGCCUGCGAGUACGACGCAAGUAAACCAAUGGAUAGU
rnacentral:rRNA from 1 species